GCGGCAUGCCUUACACAUGCAAGUCGAACGGCAGCACGGGUGCUUGCACCUGGUGGCGAGUGGCGAACGGGUGAGUAACACGUGGGAACCUUCCUAGGGGUACGGAACAACUCAGGGAAACUUGAGCUAAUACCGUAUACGUCCGUGAGGAGAAAGAUUUAUCGCCCUUAGACGGGCCCGCGUCGGAUUAGCUAGUUGGUGGGGUAACGGCCUACCAAAGCGACGAUCCGUAGCUGAUCUUAGAGGAUGAUCAGCCACACUGGGACUGAGACACGGCCCAGACUCCUACGGGAGGCAGCAGUGGGGAAUCUUGGACAAUGGGCGCAAGCCUGAUCCAGCCAUGCCGCGUGAGUGAAGAAGGUCUUCGGAUUGUAAAGCUCUUUUGCCAGGGACGAUAAUGACGGUACCUGGAGAAUAAGCCCCGGCAAACUUCGUGCCAGCCGCCGCGGUAA
rnacentral:rRNA from 1 species